rnacentral:rRNA from 1 species
AGCUCCAAUAGCGUAUAUUAAAGUUGUUGCAGUUAAAAAGCUCGUAGUUGGAUUUCUGGGAGGGUGCUAAUGCCCGCCGUAGCGCGCGCGCAGCAGCGCCCUUCCAUCCUUCUGUUAACGCCUCUUGGCAUUCAUUUGCUGGUGGCGGGCUCAGAUAUUUUACCUUGAGAAAAUUAGAGUGUUUCAGGCAGGCUAGGCCGGAAUAUAUUAGCAUGGAAUAAUGGAAUAGGACUAUGGUCUCUUUGUUGGUUUGAGGGACUGCAGUAAUGAUUGAUAGGGACAGUUGGGGCGGUCUGUAUUCCAAAGCGAGAGGUGAAAUUCUUAGACCUUCGGAAGACAAACAGCUGCGAAAGCGUUCCGCAAGGAUGUUCCCU